rnacentral:lncRNA from 1 species
AAGACAAAUACAGAAUGUGAAGUCCUGUUCCAACCAAGGGAAAUCGGACACAGCAAUAAGGAAUACAACAUGUUUAAGACCACAGAACAUCUGCAUAGGCUGUAAAUUUCGUUGAAUGAUGGAUGCAAAGAUGGAAGACAGAUGGAUAGAGGAAAAGACAGAAUCAGAUACUGGAUGAGUUAGUACUGCUGCCUGUGCUUCAGAGCUGUCUUAUUACCACAAGGCCGGCAAGCAUCAAUGUCCCCACAUCCCCCUCUGCCUCCCCCUGAAAUGUACCGAUUUAUAUGAAAAUUAAGAUUACAAAUUAAAGCCUGGCUAUCCUGGAGUUUUCCAGUUCAUCAGCCAUCCAAUAAAAAUGAUGUCAAGCCUGUAUGCAUAAUUCCCGGAAGAUUACUUUCGUCCUUACAGCUAAGCCCUGUCCCUGAUAUGAAAGAUCUCUAUCCACUUUUAUUGAAAUAAAGAACUAACAUCAUAAUCCCAAUAUUGAGGUAUAAUCUUCAUUAUC